UCUCCAUUUCUCUCUCCCCCCCCCCCCCCCCCCCCUCCUCUCUUCAUUUCAUUUUCAAUUAUUUCAGAUGAUUUUCUCUCAUCAUCUCUCUCUCCAUUUUCGUUCUUCUCCCUCUCUCUCAAGGAGAGAACCCCCAUUGAAGGUGCACAUACAAAAGUUGUAGAAAACUAAGAAGUGUCUAAGGGCCAGAGAAGAUGACGAAAUUAGAAGAGCACACCAUCUCCAAGGCUUGAGCAUAAAAAGGUCAAAUUUGGGAUUUAUGGUUAGAUUAAUGUAUUAUGUGUAAAAUCUGAGUUUCAAGUGAGUUUAAUAAUCUUAGUUGGUUGUUUUAAUCUGUACUUGAUGGAUUAUAGUGGAUAUAUGUUGCAUGCUUGUGGUAUAGAGCCCUUUAGGACUAGGGAUCCGAAGUUCGAAAGGCUUACGGUAAAGUAAGUUUCUGGCAGUUUUAAGAUUGAUUUCUGAUGGAUCAAGCAGAACCUAAACUACAGAUUUCACGGAAUUUAUUUUAACCGAUGUGUUAUUUAGGAAGUGUAGAUAAUUUUUGGCCCUGGAAACGUUCAAAAAGGGUAAGUUUUCAUUGAAUUAUGACCCUUACAAGUCUACGGGGUAAACCUGUUUUUGAAACUGGCAGAUUAAACGUACGAAUUUUAAAAAAUUAUUUUACCAGUAAAACCUUAUUAUAUUGAUUUGAAAUUUUUAAGGAGUGUUAAUAAGAUAGUAAAAUUAAUAUCUGGAAUUUUUCAUGAUAAAAUUAUUUGUAUAUUGAUAAUUAUGAUUUUUAGAAUAUAGGUGUAAAACCUGACUUUUCUGGCAGUUCUUAACCAUGUCCCCAACAAGUUUAACAUUCUUAAACUACCAUAUUUUGUGUAUUUUAUUUCACCAAAUUAUUACAUAGGAUCUGUAAAUAUUCAUAAUUGUUUGAAUUAUUCAAAUAUAUUUAGAAAUAUACAAGUUAUGACUGUUUGAAAAUUUGUGUGAAAAUCUGGUUGUUCAUUGGCAGAUUCGAGCAACGUUUUUAGAAAAAAUAUUUCUAUGGGUAAAACUUAUUAUUUUAACAUGAAAUUUAACAGAGAUAUUUUUGUGACACAAAAUCUAAAUUCUGGAAAGUUUUAUCUAAAUCCAACUUGUACAAUGGAGGUUAUGAAUUUUUUUAUAUAGGAAAUAAAACUAAAAUUUUGGACAGUGGGAUUUAAACUAUGAAUGUGUGAUUUUUUGACACAAAAUAUUUCAUAAAUUAGUUGGCAACCCAUUAUAUAUAUAGAUCUAAAAUGAACUAUUUUAUUGUGGUUAGACUUUCAAACUUUGAAUUGGGUCUAUCAUGAAAGGUGUUGGAUUAAAGGAAGAGAGUAUGGGUCCAAAGUCAUAUAUAUUAAAUAAAAGUCAUGUAAUGAAAUUUUUGCUAAAUAAUAAGGGAAUUAUUUAUUCUUAUUAUGGUUAUAAAUAGACAUAUUUUCACUACUUUUUGGAAAUAUGAAAGUAAAUGGUAUUUAGCCUCGUUUUAUGAGGAUUACCUUAUGGAAAUAAUAAUUUCAAGGUUAUUCUUACAAAAGCCAUAUUUUACGAUAAGCCAGUUAUAGUUUUCAUUUAUUUUCACAAUUAAUGAUAAACUUAUUGAAUAAAGAUUUGAAAGAAGUACUCUUAUUUCUUUAAAUGAGAUUGUUAAUUAUGUCCCAACCAUUCUAUCGGACUAGCAUAGUUUUUUUCUUUUUUUUUUUUUUAUCAAGAA